rnacentral:rRNA from 1 species
GCAAAACGCGAAGAACCUUACCCACCUUUGACAUGUACGGAAUCCUUUAGAGAUAGAGGAGUGCUCGAAAGAGAGCCGUAACACAGGUGCUGCAUGGCUGUCGUCAGCUCGUGUCGUGAGAUGUUGGGUUAAGUCCCGCAACGAGCGCAACCCUUGCCAUUAGUUGCUACGAAAGGGCACUCUAAUGGGACUGCCGGUGACAAACCGGAGGAAGGUGGGGAUGACGUCAAGUCCUCAUGGCCCUUAUAGGUGGGGCUACACACGUCAUACAAUGGCUGGUACAAAGGGUUGCCAACCCGCGAGGGGAGCUAAUCCCAUAAAGCCAGUCGUGGUCCGGAUCGCAGUCUGCAACUCGACUGCGUGAAGUCGGAAUCGCUAGUAAUCGUGGAUCAGAAUGUCACGGUGAAUACGUUCCCGGGUCUGUACACACCG